UGGCCGGGUGGUGAGCCAUCCUUUCGCGGUCCGCCGAGGCCUCGGAGCAGCGCGACCCGGGUUCCCGCCUCAGGCCCCAGGAGGCGAGGUGUACAGUCCGGUAAAGGAAUGGAGCGCCCGCCGAGCGGUCGCUGCGGGGGUAGCCUCGCGGAGGUUGUUUGGCCUCUCACGGCCCCCGUAUCCAACGGAAGAGGAGUCCGUUGGAAUAGACGACCCGGAUUUCGGCUGUUGUAGGGCAGUUCCUGGGCUCCCGCGGAGCGAUGAGACGUUGUGAAUUAGAUGUGAGAAGAGGGACGCUUGGUCUGCGACCACCAAGACCCCACAGGAUCGAUGCACCCACCCCUGCUGAUGACCAUGACCAUCUAAAGGGGAACAUCAUUUGAGGGGCCCUACUCAUGGAUCAGAAGCCCCUCUUCACUGUGGGGUGUGCUGGGUUGGCGGGCAGUUGCCGUGGAAUCAGUUUCCUCAGGACCCAUAUCUGACCACCCUCAUAAGGUUGUCAGGGCGAUUCCAACAUUCGGGGUUCCCAGCAGCCCAGAUCCCCCACAUCCAGCUCUUCAGCCUACUCAGAGCUCUCCACGCUCACUCACAUGUCCCUCUCGCAAGUAGCCCGAUCAACUCACCUGGUGUCAUGGGCACUAAGGUGUUAAUGGAUUUUCUCUGGUCACCUUUGCAGCUCCACUGUUUUGAGGUCCCAGGAACUCACAGUAUGCUCUAAAAAGGAGAGGGGCAAGAGCUCUGAGUGAGUACAUCCCGUUGGCCCGUGGGAUUUCUUGCCCUAUGGAAAGGAACAUGGACGGAAGAGAAUCAGGUGCUCAGAGCCCUAGACUGGGGCUCCUCUUGCCCCAGUCUUGAGGCAGUUCUAAAGAGCCUCUGGAACCAGAAUGGACGGUCCUCUAGUAACGCUGGAUUCUAUGGGUUGGAAGUACUGCAGCGGCUGGAUCAGGUUCCAGUA
rnacentral:lncRNA from 10 species